UUAAGUUCAGCGGGUAGUCCUACCUGAUUUGAGGCCAGAGUUAAUGAAAAGUGGGUCAGAGAUGGAACUCUUCGCCGGGUUAGAAAGCUAGACUAUUCGUUUUCAAAACCAUUAACAACAGUAGAGUCAUUAGCCCAUCGACGUAAAUUUAUCACAUCAUAUGGAGACCCUUCCGAAAAGGUUCGAAAAGUCCAAGCUAA
rnacentral:misc_RNA from 1 species